rnacentral:rRNA from 1 species
UACGUAGGUGGCAAGCGUUGUCCGGAUUUACUGGGCGUAAAGAGCGCGCAGGCGGCUGGUCAAGUCCGAUGUGAAAUCUCCCGGCUUAACUGGGAAACUGCAUCGGAAACUGAUCGGCUUGAAGGUGGGAGAGGGUAGUGGAAUUCCCGGUGUAGUGGUGAAAUGCGUAGAUAUCGGGAGGAACACCUGUGGCGAAAGCGGCGCACUGGACCACAUCUGACGCUGAGGCGCGAAAGCUAGGGGAGCAAACAGG